rnacentral:miRNA from 1 species
UCUGACCUUCAGCAGAGG